rnacentral:rRNA from 1 species
UACGGAGGGUGCAAACGUUGCUCGGAAUCAUUGGGCGUAAAGCGCACGUAGGCGGCUUGUUAAGUCGGGUGUGAAAGCCCUGGGCUCAACCCAGGAAGUGCACUCGAAACUGGCAAGCUUGAAUAUGGAAGAGGGUCGCGGAAUUCCCGGUGUAGAGGUGAAAUUCGUAGAUAUCGGGAGGAACACCAGUGGCGAAGGCGGCGACCUGGGCCAAUAUUGACGCUGAGGUGCGAAAGCGUGGGGAGCAAACAGG